UCUGAAUGUUAGUGAUGUCUGAGUACUAUAUAAUAGUUAAAACUUUCAACAACGGAUCUCUUGGUUCUGGCAUCGAUGAAGAACGCAGCGAAAUGCGAUAAGUAAUGUGAAUUGCAGAAUUCAGUGAAUCAUCGAAUCUUUGAACGCACAUUGCGCCCGGUGGUAUUCCGCCGGGCAUGCCUGUUCGAGCGUCAUUAUAACCAAUCAUGCCUGGCAUGGUGUUGGGGCACGCGGUCUCGCGGCCCUCAAAAUCAGUGGCGGUGCCGGUAGGCUCUAAGCGUAGUAAUUCUUCUCGCUACAGGGUCCUGCGGGUGGCUUGCCAGAACCCCCCAUUUUUUCAGGUUGACCUCGGAUCAGGUAGGGAUACCCGCUGAACUUAAGCAUAUCAAUAAGCGGAGGAAAAGAAACCAACAGGGAUUACCUCAGUAACGGCGAGUGAAGCGGUAACAGCUCAAAUUUGAAAGCUCCCCACAGGGCGCAUUGUAAUUUGUAGAGGAUGCUUUGGGGGUCGGCCCGGUUUAAGUUCCUUGGAACAGGACGUCAUAGAGGGUGAGAAUCCCGUAUGUGACCGGUGCUAGCCUUCGUGUAAAGCUCCUUCGACGAGUCGAGUUGUUUGGGAAUGCAGCUCAAAAUGGGUGGUAUAUUUCAUCUAAAGCUAAAUAUUGGCCAGAGACCGAUAGCGCACAAGUAGAGUGAUCGAAAGAUGAAAAGCACUUUGGAAAGAGAGUUAAACAGUACGUGAAAUUGUUGAAAGGGAAGCGCUUGCAAUCAGACUUGCGGGCGGUCGAUCAUCCGAGCUUCUGCCCGGUGCACUCGAU
rnacentral:rRNA from 1 species